UGCAGACCUGCGACCCAGAGCACCUCGGAGGCGGUGAAUAAUAGCUCUUCAAGUCUGCAAUAAAAAAUGGCCUCCAAUAAAACUACAUUGCAAAAAAUGGGAAAAAAAAAAAAAAAACCCAGAAUGGAAAGAGUAAAAAAGUUGAAGAGGCAGAGCCAGAAGAAUUUGUGGUGGAAAAAGUACUAGAUCGACGUGUAGUGAAUGGGGAAAGUGGAAUAUUUCCUGAAGUGGAAGGGAUUUACAGAUGCUGACAAUACUUGGGAACCUGAAGAAAAUUUAGAUUGUCCAGAGUUGAUCGAAGCAUUUCUUAACUCUCAGAAAGCUGGCAAAGAAAAAGAUGGUACAAAAAGAAAAUCUUUAUCUGACAGUGAAUCUGAUGACAGCAAAUCAUAGAAGAAAAGAGAUGCUGCUGACAAACCAAGAGGAUUUGCCAGAGGUCUUCAUCCUGAAAGAAUAAUUGAUGCCACAGACAGCAGUGGAGAAUUGAUGUUUCUUAUGAAAUGGAAAGAUGAGGCAGACUUGGUGCUAGUGAAAGAGGCAAAUAUGAAGUGUCGUGAAAUUGUAAUUGCUUUUUAUGAAGAGAGACUAACUUGGCAUUCUUGUCCAGAAGAUGAAGCUCAAUAAUUGUUCACAUUGUGUAUAUAUAUAUAUAUAUAAAAUUUGGGUCUUGGAUUUUGAUUUACUAGUGUGACGAAAUAACUACAUCCUAAUGAAAAUCAAGUUUGAUAUGUUUGUUUUGAAAGUAGCAUUGGAAGAGUUGUUGGGAAUUUUUUUUGCAUCCACAGCACUGGUUACUUUGAACAAAUAAAUAAAAGCUUUCUGUAGUUGCUUCCUUUAUCAGAAAAGA